GAGGGAGUGGUCUCGGUUUGGCCCUCAGUCUGGAGUCACAGUCUGGAUUCACAGGCAGCGCAGAGAGAUGUUGGCUCAGGACCUGAGGCUGAGGCGUGCUGGGACAGCCUAGGGGGUGUCCUGGCUUUCCAGGGGCUGGGGAACCCUCUCUGGCCCGGGGGCGGGAGAAGCUGUUCCAGAAUCGGUUCUGGCUCCACUGCCACCUCAGCACUUUCUAAUUGCAGCUCCAAACAGCCGCAGCUGCAGUCAUAGCAACAGGCCCCGCCCACCGGGCUUCGCUCCUGGCGUCCAGCACGUGACGGCGACGCCUGCGUCGCUCCCUCAGCCCCUGGCGCUAAGGGAGGCGGGGAAGUGUGGGGGGAUGACGUUUACUCUGUCGUCUCCAUGGAUAUAAUGCAUAGACGUCAACGUCGCCAGUGUUUGGUGUGUAACGUUCUUCCGUCUCCAUGGGAACGUCAGGCGGCCAAACACCGGGCCCCAGCAACAGGCUUCUGAUUGGCCCGAGGCUUCCAAAGGCGGAGCUUCGUCUCCCGCGCCCGCUCGACUGUGUUGCUGUUUUGGUUGUUGUCUCCCACUUGUUUAUUUCUCUAACAGAUCCUGGAGGCUGAGGUCUAGAUCGGUCGCCAAGGAUGGGAUCCAGGAGAAAACGUGCUGAACGUGCAGCUUGCUCCUACCGAUUACAGCCCAGCAGAUGACAUAGUUCCACUGUGCUCUAGUCCAUUGUGGGAAUUAUGGCCCUCAUGCCCGGCGUCUGUCACAACCCAAUAUUUGGUGUUAUAACCCCUGCUCCCACCCCCCAGCACAUCUCAGAAGUGCCGUUACCCUCUCAGUCACAUCCCAGAAACUGUGUUGCCUUCACGGUUACUCUUGUUUAUGCUUGAGAGCACUCGGAGGCCUUUCCAUAUCUAAAGCCUGCAUUCAGUGCUACCCCCUGCAGGAUUUGGAUACAUUUCCCCGUCUGGUCCUAAUUCUGUUGAAUGACAUCAUUUAUCCGUAUUCCCACCCAGAGAUGGGCAGAUUUCUUGUAACCUGAAUAGAUACCAAAGAAUCCCAAAGGACCUGGAAACAGAAAGAAAUUGAAGACAGAGAUGAACACAGAUCAAGAGCCCAGGUUUCUUGAUAUCUAAUACUAAUAUACUGAUGGAGUUAAACAUUCCAAGGUACGAAUGUGUCCAGAAACAGUUUUAACCUUACCCUGGGUUUCCAUCAGUGAAACCAAGUUAACAUCUGGCAAAAGAUAGCGAUCUAGCCUCAGGGGUUUCAGUCAAGUUGCGCUUAAAAGAAUGCCUUAAAAUCUGUAGUUAUGGUGUCAAAUAUAAUAAAUCUUCACCAGCUCAUGCACGUACAAGUCUGAAAUGUUUCAUAAAAGGUUUAGAUGACCUGAUAACAUGUUUCUAAAACCCAGAGAGAAAGAGAGAGACUGAUACAAACGUCAAGUUAAAAACAAGAAAGUAAAAUUAGUUUCAUAGAUUGGGGUUGAUAAGGGGAAUCUCUGUCCUCUAUGCUCUAAUCUUAGCCCACUACCUCCUUUCCUCUAUCUCCUCUGGUGGAUAUGCUUGCUAUCUGUCCUCCCCUCCGACUCUUUGGCUAGCCUUAUAGCCUAUAAUUUCCUUCAGAGAUGUAGUGAAAUUAAAUGAAAUUAAGAGCCUGCUUAAUGCAAACAGGACCAAAGGGCACAGCUCUUUAUCGUAAUGAACUUCAUUCUGAUUAAGUCAGGGACUGCAAGUGCUUACUAUUUACCCAGUAAAUAUAUUAAAUUGCUAGGCUAGUCUCCCUUCUGUCCUGACACUGCCAGGGAAUAUUUGAAAGUCGGAUAUAAGAUCCAUUUUAGACCAUCAAACAUCCCUUCUAAUUCUAUCAUCUCUCUUUAUGUUUCCAGGAAUAUAGCAUGUCUUGGUCUCUGAGAGCCAAUAUAUCUGGGUUACACUGAAAGAGGAAUAACGAGAUAAUAUUUACACUGUACAUUGAAGAUGACCUGAAAAGCUGGAAGAGGUGACUGAGGGCAUUUUCUCAGUGUGGAUGAAGAAGAGGGGAGGAAGCUCAGACAGACAUCAGCUGGAUGAAGCCCCAGGUUCAAACAAACUUGCCUUGGAUAUCAAAGUACUAGUAGCAAAGGAACUCCCAAUUCCUCACCUGCUGUGAAGUUUCCCAUUCACUGCAAGCAAAGUCCAGGUGAAAGCAAAGAUUCUUCACCCGCAGAAACCCUCUGGGCAGGUAACUCAUGAUGUAUUCCCAGCCACCUGAUGAAUCUGGAGAAAGGAAUAGAAUGGUUCUGCCAAAUGAUUUAAAUGAAGAAUCCUGUGGGCCCAGCCCAGCCCUCUAUGCUAACCAAUCUGAAGCCGGCAGGUGUGUGGUGUUCUGUUUAUAGCUGCCAGAUCAGCUCCUGUUGUAGGUUCUAUAUGCUGGCCUCAGCUGAGCCUGUGGUAUGUGAGCACAGUUCUGUGCGAUCCAAACAAUUGACAAAUACUGACCUGGCCCCAGCCACGUGCCCAGUCAUUGCUGGGCUGCCCAAGAAACCAACUAAGCACAUUCUGGGGCAGGGGUGGGGGGCAUUCAAGAAAGAAAUCAGAAAGCUGUAUUCAUUAUUCUAUUGACUGAAGGCUUAGUAUUGUGUCAGGCACUGAUCUGGCAACGGGGAAACAGUAAUGUCUCUUUCCCUCAUGGAACUUAC
rnacentral:lncRNA from 1 species